AACCAAUAAUGUUCAUCUUCUUGUCUUAUCUACACGUGUCACAUUUUAAAGAUUUCUAACAAGUGAAAGAUGACUAAUCUGACCAAACCCACAAAACGUUGUCGUUUAAUUAGCAAAUAUUGCUGAUGAAAAGUCUUCACUUGUUCUCUUCCUCGAACCUCAAUACUCCACCGAUUUGCUUCUCGCAGCAUGUUUUGUUUUCAAUUAAUUAAAGUUAUAAUUGGUUAAAUAGAUUGUAGAUUCAUUAAUAACCGGUUCUUAACUCAAGAGCAUCAAUCUUUUUUCCCUUUUUUCUGGCUUGAUUGGUAUUAGAAUUCGAAAUGGGCCAGUGAACUUAAAUGAGCCAUUGAAUUUUAAGAGACCCAAUUAAGUGAGAUCCUUGGUAGCUCAAUUUCUAUCGGUGUAUUUGAUUAUGGCGGCUAUAAAAGUGAAAGACAUUUUAGGAUGAGUUAAACUUAUAUCUCUCGACCAAGGAGGAGCCUACUUCAGUACUCAAGGACAAGAGUCAUCUGUUAUUCCCCGUGUAAAAGAAGAUCAUGAUGGUGCAGGGGCUUCAGGAAGCUCUGUUUCUGCUAUCAACCUUGUGAGAUUAUAGAUUACACAGUCUCCUGCCACUCCUGGCAGUCUUCGAGUUUUGGUAAAGAGAUAGCGGUGCCGUUGAUUUGCUGCUCCUCAGAUACUAUCUUUGUUCCGUCGAAAAAACAAGUUGUAUUGCUCGGUUCUUGGUCUUCUCUAGCGAUCAACGACAUGCUUUCCGCCGCAUACUAAGUCUAUGAUCUCCAAGGCCGGUCUUAGGCAAAACCGAAUGGUUUCAUUCGGUUAUGGUUCCCAAAAUUUUCUUAAAAAAUUACAUAGAUAUAGGUCUCUAAAUUUGUAAAAAAAAAUGAAAUAUUUACUAAGUCUUCCAAAAUCUCUUGGCAGGCCCUGAUGAUCUUAAUAAAACAGUUAGAGGCUUAAACUGACUCUAGUUU